GUUUACUUAGUGUAGUGGUUAGCACGUGCGUUUCACGCGCGCAAGGUCUCCGACUUGAUCCUGGAAGGGAACA